AAUAGAUGAAAAAAUGUAUUUGUGUAAAAUUUAAUAAAAAAUUCAUGAUUUAAGCAAAGGAAAGACCUAUUGCAGUGAAGCCCCCUAUUAAUCUUCCAAAUGCCUUUCUUUGGCUAUCAAAGUGUCCAAAUAUUCUUCUAAUAUUGUGCCUAUGAUAUUGCAAUUGGAACUGAGUGUCCCCUGGUAUGUCACCCCCAUACAUAGUGUUCAGGGGGUAAUAAUCUCAUUAUCCCUUUAGCUACCUGGGGAGAGGUGGGGUGUCAGGAGCAGAGAAGUUUCUGGUAAGAACAGUUCAUCUCUGAUGAUGUUGGCAUCAGCCAGUAGAGGUUCUAAAACUUGUUUGGCCCCAGUUGGCUUCUCAGACUCUGAAAGAAAAAAGAAGCAGCACAAAAACCAUCAUAUACCCAGGAGAUCACAUCAUACCUUAGACCUGGUAUGUGUGUGAACCCAGCAGAGAAGCUUUGGUGGCUAGUGUCUGGAUCCUUGGAAGGAUGAAUAGCAUCCCCAGAGAGGAGAAAGCCCAUUGACAGAGUGUAAUCUGGAAUUUGAACUAGACAGCCAGAUAAACCAGUCUCCCAGGGUCAUACCAGAAAGGAUGCAAGAGGUAAAAGAUCAAAGAAACAUGCUUCCUCUCUGCUCCUGUCAGCCAAAAUCCACAAAACAGCUAGUGUGGGAUGUCCCAAUCUGGCCCCUCAUCAGUGAAGUUUGCAGGCCAGCCUCUCUGGAACAGGAAGGGAGGGAAUUCUGUUUCCUUCUAGCAAUGCCCAGAUGGGCCAUGAAAUGAAGUCUCACACAGCUCUGUAGGAACUAGAAUCCUGGAAAUGCUGAUAUGUAGAUUCCGACACCCUAUGCCUUCCUUGCUAAAGUGUCAAGGCCUCUGCUAGGCCCAGGUAGGAAAUCUCCUCUCUGUGUCUAGCUUCACUUAGAAGCUUGCAGGAAGAAUGAAAUCAGUCAUGGAGCUCUGAGCAUUGAGCUGUCCCCACUUCACGUGUGCACACUCAUUCAUUCGUCAUCAUCACACCCUUCCAACUACUGUGGCUUCCGACUUCUGCUUAUUGAUUACUUUAUAGAGACACAUCUCAGCUAUUUCUUCCCCAAAAUGGAUUGGUGUCACUAUCCUACGUUAAUUUUACAGGUCAAGAAAAUAAGGGCAAGAAAGAAAAGGAAACUGGAAGCAUGGGAUGGGUAACUGUCUACAGACUCAUGUACCAAAGUGCAGAAGUAGGUCUUUGAGGCCCAUUGACCUUCCACUCUACACUGGUGAAAACUAUCAGGCACUGACCCUAGGACAGUCACAGGGAGUCUGAAGAGCAAAAGCUCAAAUGGAAAAACAGUCCUUAUAUCACCGGCUGGGGAGAGGAUACACAUGGCCCCAGAGAAAUAACUGAGCUGAGAGAAACCCCGAUUUUCUUUGUAGCACUGAUAAGCACCUGGGGAUGAUACAUCUAACAUGCCAGCCUGCCAGCCACUUGGCUUCCACUGCCCCAUCAACCUUCCCCUCCCAACCAUCACAGUGAAUCAUUUCCAGAGAUGUAUCCUGGACCUUGUCAUCACCUGGAAAGGUUUUACCUCUGAAUACUGGGUUGUGAACUCCGUAAGGGCAGGGACCAUGCCUUAAUUCUUAUCUUUGUUCUCAGAGUUUCCCACAAUAAGUGCAUAGAGCUAAUGCUCAGGGACUGUUUGCUGGAUGAAUGACUCACACUGAGAAAUCUCACUCUCCAAUCGGAACCUCUAUCUUACCUCUCUGAUGUGGUUUGGCUGUGUCCCCACUGAAAUCUCAUCUUGUAAUAUAGUUCCUAUAAUCCCCAACUGUUGUAGGAGGGACCCAGCUGGGGGGUAAUUGAAUCAUGGGGCAGUUACCCCCAUGCUUCUGUUCUCCUAAUAGUGGGUGAGUUCUCAUGAGAUCUGAUGGUUUUAUAAGGGGCAUUUCCCCCUUUUGCUCAGUACUUCUUGAUGCUGCCACGUGAAGAAGGACAUGUUUGCUUCCCCUUCCACCAUGAUCCUAAGGCCUCCCCAGCCAUACAGAACUUCCCCAAACUACAAACACAAAGGAAGCUCCCAUGGAAUCGGAUGAUGGCACUGUACGAAUCAAGAUGCAGCUAGCAAUAAAAACAGAAGACACCAACACCAGCAGUCCAGAGACCUCCAGUAUAACAUAAAGUGUUCAUAGUAUCCUGAGGAUUCCAGUCACACAGGCUCAAACCUGAGGAUCACCCCGGAUCCUUCCUCUCCGUUGUCCGGAAAAAUCCUACCUCCUAUCCUUUCUAACCCUCCAUCCCACUGUCACUCCUCUAAUUCAGAAAUUUCUCUCCUUUCUUCCCCCAUGCACCCCAAUCUCAUAUAGUGGUGUGAUAUGAUUUGGCUCUGUGUCCCCAACCAAAGCUCAUCUUGUAGUUCCCAUAAUCCCCAUGUGUUAUGGGAGGGACCUGGUGGGAGAUGAUUGAAUCAUGAGGGUGGGUCUUUCCCAUGCUGUUCUCGUGAUAGUGAAUGGGUCUCACGAGAUCUGAUGGUUUUAAAAAUGGGAGUUUCUCUGCACAAGCCCUCUCUUUGCCUGCUGCCAUCCACGUAAGAUGUGACUUGCUCCUCCUUGCCUUCUGCCAUGAUUGUGAGGCCUCCCCAGCCACGUGGAACUGUAAGUCCAAUGAAACUCUUUCUUUCGUAAAUUGCCCAGUCUCUAGUAUGUCUUUAUCAACAGUGUGAAAACGGACUAAUACAUGGUGCCAGGCUGAGCAUUUGGAAACAGUGUUCUAACAAUGCCACUCAUCUGUUCCAAAAUUGCCAAAGGAUCCACACUGCCUAGAGUGAAAUUCAAAUGUGAGCCUGUAAAUCAAAGCGCUUCAUGAGUUCUUCCCAACCUACCUUUCCAUCACAGCCCAACAUCAGGCAAACAGAACCACUGUCUUCUCCGUUCAUUUCCCACUUGGUUCUACUUCUGGGUUUUGCUCUGUUUGGCAUGUGUUUUCCUGCAUCACUGCAUUUCCGAGUCUUACCCAUCCUUCAAAGUUCAUGUCACAUCACCUCCUGCAAGAACAUUCUCUGAUCCUCUCCUGCGUGCAUAAUCACUCCCUCUUUUGGACUCCUGCAACCCUGUGUGCCACUCUUUCGCACUGAGUAAAAGUAUGUGCAUUUCAUAUGUUUCCAUUGGGUGAUAAGGUCUUUGAAAAUAAGGCCCUUACAGAUUCACCCUUCAUGGAGAAGAUGUAGGGAGACCCAAGAACUUGGAGUUUGGCUGGUUUGUAGGAAAUGUAACAAAGUUUGGGGGAAUAAUUUUGGAAAGGUAGGUUGGAAUCAUAUUGUGACUCCAGGGUAAUAGUUAAAAGUGCUUGGGAGUCAUCUGCAGACGUAUGAAGCUAGAUGAGGCAAUCCUGAGAAAAAAUAUCAAAUGUGAAGGGAAAGUGCCCAUCCCUGGAACCACAGGGAACAUUAGCCUGCAAGUAUCCACUGGAAAAUAAAAAAUCAUGGAGACUGGCAGGAAAUGGCUGUAUAGAAUGGAAGUCAGUCACAACAUCCAUACCACACUGGGCAUAAAAAGAAUUUCAGCCCUGUUGGUCAGCCACGAUACAUGCGCUUGAAUAAUUCUGACCGAAUCCUGUAUGGCUUUUUUUUUCUCUAGAAUUGCAAAUAGGGAAGACCAUGCUGACAGACUUGUGGAUCCUUAAUUCAGGACAUUUUAAAAAGGCAAUCACUUGCCCACAUUCUAUUCCUAAUCAGUGGGGCUUCCCAAACCCAGUACACCGGAGACAUCUACAAAUAUGUAGAACUCGCAGAAGUAACGCCUGACCAAGGAACACACGAAUGGGAACAAGGAGUAUUCCUGGUCAUCUGAUUUGUUUCUGUGUUGGCUUCCCAGUCCCAAAAGUGACUCCUAAGGUCAUUACAAUUAUUAAAACCAGAGAACAAGCACAGGGACCCAGAGGAAGUCAGCAGGAGGGGGAACUAGUCCUACAACCACAUAGGACCUGCCCCGUGUCAAUUCAAUUGAAUUCAGCACAGACAAACUGCUGAGCUCCCCGGAGGUGAAAGCCCUGACCUGGGCAGAUGUUUACCUGAUCAAAACAGGGAGGUCCUCCCAAGCCAGCCCUGCUAAAGAUCCCACCUGAGACCACAAUUUUCUUACACCUUAUUCUAACACAAUGGAGGUCAACUUAUUCAUUUCAAGGGUUCUAGAAAUGUUUGAUUCAAAUUACAUUUAAAAAUAUUUUUAAAAUGGUAAACACAGACAAGUGUGUGAUACCAAAUGUGAACAAUCAUAGACCCCAGUGGUUUACAUGAGCCACAGGUUAUAAUAUACUCAUGCCCGCUUCAGAAUAAAGGUUCUCCUGCCAAAACCAUGAAUAUGUUUGAACACAUGUAGAUGUGUCAUUAAUUGGGAAAGCUGUAGUUCCAAAAAGAUCUUUCAACUGUUCGGAUCCAUGCAAGUAUUCUUAUGCUGUAAAACUGUAUGAGCAAGUACACUACCAUCACCCUGGCCCCCUAGCGCCAUGCUCAAUUAAAGGCCAGGAAGGGCUCAGGGACUUCCCUGGAAUGUAUGCUCUUAUAAAGACGUAAUACUAAACUAUACGGUAAUAUGUGACCACAUAACAUGCUGUACCAUGGUAAGUAUUACCAGUAGCAUUAUUAUUAGUAUUAUUAGCAUUACUAGUAGCAUGCUUAUUUUGAUGUUAGACUGAUCAAGACCAACAGUAAUGCAGGGCCAUUCUAUUACUGCUUCUCUUGUGGCCGAUAGCGUCCAUGAUGAAACUGACAACUGAAGUUUGAGCUCAAAAUGCCAGAUUAAACAUGUUUUGCUGUGUUAAAGGCUUUAAGUGAUUACUACAGAGAAACAAACACUGGAGUUUCUGAAAAAAAAAUUAACAACAUAAUUAACCUCUCAUGAUGAUACAACAUAAUUUUGGGAAGAAUUUUCUGCCAAAGAUAUAAAUUGGUGAAUCUAAGUGAAAGAAUCUGUUCCUUUCCAUUAGACCUCUUAUAAUUAAACAAUUGUUACAUAGUGUUAGUGAGUCAACAUUAAAACCAAUUCUUCCUAUAUUUAUCUUUCAUGUUUCUAGAUCAUUGAAAUCAGAAUAGCCUGAAUCUGUAAGGUAUCUUGUUUAAAAGUGCUAUAAUUUCCAAUAUCUAGCUGUUGCAUGUUGUACAGUCAAUAUAAAAUACAGGGGUACACUUGAUAGUGAGAAUGUCAUGAGGCUACAGUGUUCAUCCCAAACCCUCAAUUUCAAAUUUUCAUAACAUUCUCAUUGUUUUCAUUAACUGUAUGUUAAAAACUAAAUUUAUCAAGCUAAUAUAUAUAACAAAAUGUUGGUUUGCUCUGUUAUAGUCAUUAAUAUUCCACAUAAGAUUUCAUUGAAGAGUUUUAAUGCUGAAAAGUUUCCAAAAAUCACUGUAACAUUUAAUAUAUAGGAAAAACCCAAAAUAUGAAGCAGGAAAAGAUGUAAGAAACAGAUCUUUUUGGUUAGAAAGGCAGAAGUAGAAAAGGGUGAGAGUAAUUCAACCACAACUCCAGAUACAAGCUUGAGAAUAAAAAAAAUGCUUUUUGAAUUAAUCAAUGAAGCAGAAAUAGUGUGUCCCUUGCUCCUGGAAUUGGGAGAGGGGAAACUUUGGGACUGGAGAAACAGAGAAGGCCAUAGAGGAAGUUUUGCUUUCCCGAUGAGAACCAUCUUCCCAUAGGCAAAUAAGAAGGCUUCUCUGUGGGAAGCAGGGCAGACCAAAGAGAUGAUGGUCUUUGGGUAGCCAAGUGUAGCCACUGAUCAUUAGGGCCAGCGUAACUGAGGUGUCAGCACAACAGAAAGGAGGCCUUAAGCAGUGAGAUUUCUGGACUUGUGGUAGAGAAAAAGUGGUGACCAGACAUGUGAUUCCGGGGAAGGAGGCUAAAGGGAAAGUGCAGCCUGGAGGGCAGAAGCAAAGCACAGGACACAGAAAUCAUUCAUUCACUCAUUAAUUAAUGAAGCUCCUAUUAAUACAGGCAUUUGAUUGGGCACUGCAGUUACAAAGAUAAAUAAGCCUCAGUCAGUGUCUCCUAGGGGGAGGAGAGGUUGUUACCAAGGGGAAGCCCAAGGAGCUAUAAGGAUGGCAGAGGAAGGGGUCAUAGCUUCCUGGAAGAGGUACCCCCAGAGGUCAGUCUCAAAGAAGUAGGAGUUAAUCAAGCAGAUAAUAGCUGAGAAUGGGGGAGGAUGAGCACCUCUCAACUCAAAGAGCAUUCCUGGAGAAAGACACGAUUUGAGAGAGAGAAUUGUAUAGCUGGGGAAGAGCAAGUGGAUGAAAAUGAGUGAGGCACAAAGUGAAAGGAAGGGAAAGUGAGAGAGGAAACUGUUGAGGGGGCUGGGGCCAGGUCAUGGGAGGCCUGGUGUGUUCUGCAAGGGAGCUCAGACUCUCUCCUAGCAACAGUAGGGAGCCACUGAGGAUGCUAAGCUGGGAAGCUGCACUCACACUUCCCUAUUCAAUUUCUCCACUCUAUUUGCUUGUGUGGCCUCCCAUAAACAUCGCCAAGAGCAGGAACUAUUUUUUUCAUCUUUUCACCUUUAUAUCCUUGGAGCUUAGCAUAGUCCCCAGAAUGCAACAGGAACUUAGCACUUAUUGUUAUAUGAACUAAUGAAUGAAUGAGCAAAGUGCCAAGUAGGGAAAGAAGAGGCUGG
rnacentral:lncRNA from 1 species